rnacentral:sRNA from 1 species
CAACCCACACUGCCCCUGCCAGCCACCAUGGGGCUGCCACUAGCCCGCCUGGCGGCCGUGUGCCUGGCCCUGUCUUUGGCAGGGGGCUCGGAGCUCCAGACAGAGGGCAGAACCCGAAACCACGGCCACAACGUCUGCAGCACCUGGGGCGACUUCCACUACAAGACCUUCGACGGGGACGUCUUCCGCUUCCCUGGCCUCUGUGACUACAACUUCGCCUCCGACUGCCGAGGCUCCUACAAGGAAUUUGCUGUGCACCUGAAGCGGGGCCCGGGCCAGGCUGAGGCCCCCGCCGGGGUGGAGUCCAUCCUACUGACCAUCAAGGAUGACACCAUCUACCUCACCCGCCACCUGGCUGUGCUGAACGGGGCCAUGGUCAGCACCCCGCACUACAGCCCCGGGCUGCUCAUUGAGAAGAGCGACGCCUACACCAAAGUCUACUCCCGUGCCGGCCUCACCCUCAUGUGGAACCGGGAGGAUGCACUCAUGCUGGAGCUGGACAGUAAGUUCCGGAACCACACCUGUGGCCUCUGCGGGGACUACAACGGCCUGCAGAGCUAUUCAGAAUUCCUCUCUGACGGUGAGGCCCGGAGGGCUUGGCGAGGGCAGGGUGGGCUACGGGCCCCCAGGAGCCCCAGCUGAAGGGCCGUGCAUCCCCAGGCGUGCUCUUCAGUCCCCUGGAGUUUGGGAACAUGCAGAAGAUCAACCAGCCGGAUGUGGUGUGCGAGGAUCCCGAGGAGGAGGCGGUCCCCGCGUCCUGCUCUGAGCACGUGAGUCCCCUCUGUCCGGGGUGGGUGUCCUGGCGGAGCUGGCCUCUGAGCAGCAUGCUCACCCUGCGUCUGUCCCCAGCGCGCCGAGUGUGAGAGGCUGCUGACCGCCGAGGCCUUCGAGGACUGCCAGGACCUGGUGCCGCUGGAGCCGUAUCUGCGCGCCUGCCAGCAAGACCGCUGCCGGUGCCCGGGUGGUGACACCUGCAUCUGCAGCACCGUGGCUGAGUUCUCCCGCCAGUGCUCCCACGCCGGCGGCCGGCCCGGGAACUGGAGGACUGCCACGCUCUGCCCCAAGACCUGCCCCGGGAACCUGGUGUACCUGGAGAGUGGCUCGCCCUGCAUGGACACCUGCUCACACCUGGAGGUGAGCAGCCUGUGCGAGGAGCACCGCAUGGACGGCUGUUUCUGCCCGGAAGGCACCGUGUAUGACGACAUCGGGGACAGUGGCUGCGUUCCCGUGAGCCAGUGCCACUGCAGGCUGCACGGACACCUGUACACACCAGGCCAAGAGAUCACCAAUGACUGCGAGCAGUGGUGAGUCCCGGGGCCAGGGCUGGGCACGGCAGAGGCUGGGGUGGCUGAGCCCUGACCCUGUGCCCCGCUGCCCAACAGUGUCUGUAACGCUGGCCGCUGGGUGUGCAAAGACCUGCCCUGCCCUGGCACCUGCGCCCUGGAAGGCGGCUCCCACAUCACCACCUUUGAUGGGAAGACGUACACCUUCCACGGGGACUGCUACUAUGUCCUGGCCAAGGGUGACCACGAUUCCUACGCUCUCCUGGGCGAGCUGGCCCCCUGCGGCUCCACGGACAAGCAGACCUGCCUGAAGACGGUGGUGCUGCUGGCCGACAAGAAGAAGAAUGUGGUGGUCUUCAAGUCCGAUGGCAGUGUGCUGCUCAACGAGCUUCAGGUGAACCUGCCCCACGUGACCGCGAGCUUCUCUGUCUUCCGCCCGUCUUCCUACCACAUCGUCGUGAGCAUGGCCAUCGGCGUCCGGCUGCAGGUGCAGCUGGCCCCAGUCAUGCAACUCUUCGUGACGCUGGACCAGGCCUCUCAGGGGCAGGUGCAGGGCCUCUGUGGGAACUUCAACGGCCUGGAAGGUGACGACUUCAAGACGGCCAGCGGGCUGGUGGAGGCCACGGGGGCUGGCUUUGCCAACACCUGGAAGGCACAGUCAAGCUGCCAUGACAAGCUGGACUGGUUGGACGAUCCCUGCUCCCUGAACAUCGAGAGCGCCAACUACGCCGAGCACUGGUGCUCCCUCCUGAAGAAGACAGAGACCCCCUUUGGCAAGUGCCACUCGGCCGUGGACCCUGCUGAGUAUUACAAGAGGUGCAAAUAUGACACAUGUAACUGUCAGAACAACGAGGACUGCCUGUGCGCCGCCCUGUCCUCCUAUGCGCGCGCCUGCACUGCCAAGGGCGUCAUGCUGUGGGGCUGGCGGGAGCUUGUCUGCAACAAGGAUGUGGGCUCCUGCCCCAACUCGCAGGUCUUCCUGUAUAACCUGACCACCUGCCAGCAGACCUGCCGCUCCCUCUCCGAGGCCGACAGCCACUGUCUCGAGGGCUUUGCGCCUGUGGACGGCUGCGGUUGCCCUGACCACACCUUCCUGGACGAGAAGGGCCGCUGCGUGCCCCUGGCCAAGUGCUCCUGCUACCACCGAGGUCUCUACCUGGAGGCGGGGGACGUGGUCGUCAGGCAGGAAGAACGAUGUGUGUGCCGGGAUGGGCGGCUGCACUGUAGGCAGAUCCGGCUGCUCGGCCAGAGCUGCACGGCCCCAAAGAUCCACAUGGACUGCAGCAACCUGACCGCACUGGCCACCUCAAAGCCCCGAGCCCUCAGCUGCCAGACACUGGCUGCCGGCUAUUACCACACAGAGUGUGUCAGUGGCUGUGUGUGCCCCGAUGGGCUGAUGGAUGAUGGCCGGGGCGGCUGCGUGGUGGAGAAGGAAUGCCCUUGCGUCCAUAACAAUGACCUGUAUUCCUCCGGAGCCAAGAUCAAGGUGGACUGCAAUACCUGCACCUGCGAGAGAGGACGCUGGGUGUGCACCCAGGCUAUGUGCCACGGCACCUGCUCCAUUUACGGGAGUGGCCACUACAUCACCUUUGACGGGAAGUACUACGACUUUGACGGACACUGCUCCUACGUGGCUGUUCAGGACUACUGCGGCCAGAACUCCUCACUGGGCUCAUUCAGCAUCAUCACCGAGAACGUCCCCUGUGGCACCACGGGCGUCACCUGCUCCAAGGCCAUCAAGAUCUUCAUGGGGAGGACGGAGCUGAAGUUGGAAGACAAGCACCGUGUGGUGAUCCAGCGUGAUGAGGGUCACCACGUGGCUUACACCACGCGGGAGGUGGGCCAGUACCUGGUGGUGGAGUCCAGCACGGGCAUCAUCGUCAUCUGGGACAAGAGGACCACUGUGUUCAUCAAGCUGGCUCCCUCCUACAAGGGCACCGUGUGUGGCCUGUGUGGGAACUUUGACCACCGCUCCAACAAUGACUUCACCACGCGGGACCACAUGGUGGUGAGCAGCGAGCUGGACUUCGGGAACAGCUGGAAGGAGGCCCCCACCUGCCCGGAUGUGAGCACCAACCCCGAGCCCUGCAGCCUGAACCCGCACCGCCGCUCCUGGGCCGAGAAGCAGUGCAGCAUCCUCAAAAGCAGCGUGUUCAGCAUCUGCCACAGCAAGGUGGACCCCAAGCCCUUCUACGAGGCCUGCGUGCACGACUCGUGCUCCUGUGACACGGGUGGGGACUGUGAGUGCUUCUGCUCUGCCGUGGCCUCCUACGCCCAGGAGUGUACCAAAGAGGGGGCCUGCGUGUUCUGGAGGACGCCGGACCUGUGCCCCAUAUUUUGCGACUACUACAACCCUCCGCAUGAGUGUGAGUGGCACUACGAGCCGUGUGGGAACCGGAGCUUCGAGACCUGCAGGACCGUCAACGGCAUCCACUCCAACAUCUCCGUGUCCUACCUGGAGGGCUGCUACCCCCGGUGCCCCAAGGACAGGCCCAUCUAUGACGAGGACCUGAAGAAGUGUGUCACUGCAGACAAGUGUGGCUGCUACAUCGAGGACACCCACUACCCACCUGGAGCGUCGGUCCCCACUGAGGAGAUCUGCAAGUCUUGCGUGUGCACCAACUCCUCCCAAGUCGUCUGCAGGCCGGAGGAAGGAAAGAUUAUCAACCAGACCCAGGAUGGCGCCUUCUGCUACUGGGAGAUCUGUGGCCCCAACGGGACGGUGGAGAAACACUUCAACAUCUGUCUCACUACACCACGCCCAUCCAUCCAGACCACCUCCACCACCAUCCCCCUCCCCACCACCCCCACCACCUUCACCACCACAACCACCACCACCACCACCUCGACCCCCAGCACAGUUUCAUCAACAACUCCGAAGCUGUGCUGCCUCUGGUCUGACUGAUCAAUGAGGAUCACCCCAGCAGUGGCAGCGACGGCGGCGACCGAGAAACAUUUGAUGGGGUCUGCGGGGCCCCUGAGGACAUCGAGUGCAGGUCGGUCAAGGAGCCCCACCUCAGCUUGGAGGAGCUAGGCCAGAAGGUGCAGUGCGACGUCUCUGUUGGGUUCAUUUGCAAGAAUGAAGACCAGUUUGGAAAUGGACCAUUUGGACUGUGUUACGACUACAAGAUACGUGUCAAUUGUUGCCUGCCCGUGAAUUGUAUAACCAACCCUCCACCAACCACCACCCCCAGCCCUCCAAUAACCAACACAACCACCCCUCCACCAACCACCACCCCCAGCCCUCCAAUAACCACCACAACCACCCCUCCACCAACCACCACUCCCAGCCCUCCAAUAACCACCACAACCACCCCUCCACCAACCACCACCCCCAGCCCUCCAAUAACCACCACAACCACCCCUUCACCAACCACCACUCCUAACCCACCAACCACCACCCCCAGCCCUCCAAUAACCACCACAACCACCCCUUCACCAACCACCACUCCCAGCCCUCCAACCACCACCCCCAGCCCUCCAUAACCACCACAACCACCCCUUCACCAACCACCACUCCCAGCCCUCCAGUAACCACCACGACCACCCUUCACCAACCACCACUCCCACCCUUCCACCAACCACCACUCCCAGCCCUCUAACAACUACUCCUCUCUCUCCAUCAAUAACUCCUCCUACAUUUUCACCAUUCUCAACGACAACCCCUACUAUCCCGUGCGUGCCUGUCUGCAAUUGGACUGGCUGGCUGGAUUCUGGAAAACCCAAUUUAACAAACCAGUGGAGAUACGGAAUUGAUUGGAGACGUCUGUGGACCAGGCUGGGCAGCUAACAUAUCUUGCAGAGCCACCAUGUAUCCUGAUGUUCCCAUUGGACAGCUUGGACAAACAGUGGUGUGUGACGUCUCUGUGGGGCUGAUAUGCAAAAAUGAAGACCAAAAGCCAGGUGGGGUCAUCCCUAUGCCCUUCUGCCUCAACUACGAGAUCAACGUUCAGUGCUGUGAGUGUGUCACCCAACCCACCACCAUGACACCCACCGGCACACAGACCCCAACCGCGACCCCCAUCGCCACCACACACGUAACCCCAACACCCACCGGCACACAGACGCCAACCCCGACACCCAUCGCCACCACCACUACGGUAACCCCAACACCCACCGGCACACAGACCCCAACCGCGACCCCCAUCACCACAACCACUACGGUAACCCAACACCCACUGGCACACAGACCCCAACCCCAACACCCAUCACCACCACCACUACGGUGACCCCAACCCCAACACCCACGGGCACACAGACCCCAACCACGACACCCAUCACCACCACCACUACGGUAACCCCAACCCCAACACCCACCAGCUCACAGACCCUAACCCCAACACCUAUCACCACCACCACUAUGGUGACCCCAACCCCAACACCCACUGGCACACAGACCCCAACCCCGACAUCAUUCACCACCACCACUAUGGUGACCCCAACCCCAACAUCCACCGGCACACAGAGUACAACCCUGACACCCAUCACUGCCACCAGUACGGUGACCCAACCCCAACCACGGCAACAGACGCCAACACCCCAACCCAACACCCACUGCACACAGACCCCAACCGCGACCCCCAUCCCACCACCACUACGGUAACCCCAACACCACCGGCACACAGAGUACAACCCACACCCAUCACCACCACCACUACGGUGACCCCAACCCAACACCACCAGCACACAGAGUACAACCCUGACACCCAUCACCACCACCACUACGGUAACCCCACACCCCACUGGCACACAGACCCCAACGGCGACACCCAUCACCACCACCACUAACGUGACCCAACCCCAAAACACCACCGGCACACAGACGCAACCCCGACACCCAUCACCACCACCACUCCGGUAACCCCAACACCCACUGGCACACAGACCCCAACCGUGACCCCCAUCACCACCACCACUACGGUAACCCCAAACCCACUGCACACGACCCCAACCCCGACCACCCAUCACCACCACCACUACGGUGACCCCAACCCCAACACCCCCGGCACACAGACCCCAACCCCGACACCCCCGUCACCACCACACUACGGUGACCCCAACCCCCAACACCCACCGGAACACAGACCCCAACCACGACACCCACACACCACUACGGUGACCCCAACCCCAACACCCACCGGCACACAGACCCAACCACGACACCCAUCACCACCACCACUACGUGACCCCAACACCCACCGCACACAGGACCCAACGCGACCCCUAUCACCACCACCACUACGGAACCGCACACCCACCGGCCACCAGAGUACAACCCCAACACCCAUCACCACCACCACUACGGUGACCCCAACCCCAACACCCACCAGCACACCAGAGUACAACCCCCCGACACCCAUCGCACCACCACUACCGGUCAACCCCAACACCCACUGGCACACAGACCCCAACUGCGACACCCAUCACCACCACCACUACGGUGACCCCAACCCCAACACCCACCGGCACACAGACCCCAACCCCCGACACCAUCGCACCACCCACUACGGUAAUCCCAACACCCCACCGCACACAGGACCCCAACCCCGACACCCACGCCACCACCACUACGGUAACCCCAACACCCACUGGCACACAGACCCCAACCCCGACACCCAUCACCACCACCACUACGGUGACCCCAACCCCAACACCCACCGGCACACAGACCCCAACCGCGACCCCCAUCACCACCACCACUACGGUGACCCCAACCCCAACACCCACCGGCACACAGACGCCAACCCCGACACCCAUCACCACCACCACUACGGUAACCCCAACACCCACCGGCACACAGACCCCAACCGUGACCCCCAUCACCACCACUAUGGUAACCCCAACACCCACCGGCACACAGAGUACAACCCCAACACCCAUCACCACCACCACUACGGUGACCCCAACCCCAACACCCACCAGCACACAGAGUACAACCCCGACACCCAUCGCCACCACCACUACGGUAACCCCAACACCCACUGGCACACAGACCCCAACUGCGACACCCAUCACCACCACCACUACGGUGACCCCAACCCCAACACC